GUACACGCUGUGACUAGCAUAUCAAUAAGCGGAGGAAAAGAAACUAACAAGGAUUCCCCUAGUAACGGCGAGUGAAGCGGGAAGAGCUCAAAUUUGAAAUCUUAAAGGGUUUCCCUUUACGAAUUGUAGUUUAAAGAAGUGUUUUCUGUUGAGGUUUUGGUAAAAGUUCUUUGGAAUAGGGACAUCAUAGAGGGUGAGAAUCCCGUAUUUGACCUUUACUUUCAACUUUGUGAUACACUUUCAAAGAGUCGGAUUGUUUGGGAAUGCAGUCCAAAAUGGGUGGUAAAUUUCAUCUAAAGCUAAAUAUUGGCGAGAGACCGAUAGCGAACAAGUACCGUGAGGGAAAGAUGAAAAGAACUUUGAAAAGAGAGUUAAACAGUACGUGAAAUUGUCAAAAGGGAAGCGUUUGACACCAGUGUUGUUUUUCUGAAAAUCAAUUAAAGAACUGUUUAUGCUAAGUUGUUUAGACUUUAUCAGCUAACUGUUUAGUUUUGAGCUUUUCUUUAAUGCACUUUUCAGUUAACAAGUCAGCAUCAAUUUCUUUUGCUGUAAAAAAGCUUGAGGAAGGUGGCUUGAGAUUCGUCUUAAGUGUUUAUAGCCUCUUGCCUAUGCAGUCGGAGAGAUUGAGGUCUGCAGCGUAGAUCCUUCGGGGCUAAAUGCAUUUGUGCUAAGUUAUAGCAUUUUAUAGACAACUUGUUGACUAUGAUUUGUCUUGUAGCUUACUCGCUUAUGUUAUUUUACCUACGCUUAGGAUGUUGAAGAUGUAGCACAUCA
rnacentral:rRNA from 1 species